rnacentral:rRNA from 1 species
UACAGAGGAGCCAAGCGUUGUCCGGAUUGACUGGGCGUAAAGCGCACGCAGGCGGUUGCGCGCGUGGGGUGUGAAAUCUGGCCGCUUAACGGCCAGGCGCCAUCCCAUACGGCGCGACUGGAGCGAUGCAGAGGUCGGUGGAAUUGCCGGUGUAGUGGUGAAAUGCGUAGAGAUCGGGAGAAAUACCUGUGGCGAAGGCGGCCUACUGGGCCGGACCUGACGCUGAGACGGCGAAGGCGUGGGAGCGAACGG